GAAAUAACUGUUUCAAUGAAACUAAAAAGAAAUUUCUUAAUAGGUGAAAAUUCCUUUGAUUAAUAUAAUAGACGAGAAGACCCUAAGAAUUAUAUAUUAAAAUUAUGGUUUUAUAACAAAAUUUUUGUUGGGGCAACAGAUUUGGUAAAAUCAAUAACUUUUAGACUUGCACAUUAAAGUAUUUUUAAUAAGAAUUUAAUUACCUUAGGGAUAACAGCAUUAUUGAUAUAUUAGAUUGUGACCUCGAUGUUGGACUAGGGACUUUUAAAGUAAGCCAUUUUAAAAGAUUGUUCUGUUCGAACAUAAAAC
rnacentral:rRNA from 1 species